UCGUAUCCGAGGGUAAAGAUUUCUGGGUUGCUAGAUAGUAUAGCAAGUAACUUGGGCCGAAAAAUGAGUUUGGAGUAAGAAUCACAGUUCAUGAAUUUCAACUCCUUGUGGCCCCCAAACAACAUCUUCAGCCGAUUGAUCGUUACGUGCCUUCUUUGGAAUCGACCGCCUCACCGAUUCGAGGAGUUAUGGCUAGUUAAACAGAGGAGGAGAGAGAGAGAGAGAAAGAGAGAGAACGGUGUGGACGCGUUAAAAUUUGCGUGGGAAAAAUUCUUCUGACAGCGUCGAGGGUGCGAAAAUUGUUGGAUCUUAAUUACUCGGUUUGGAGGACCAAAAAGAAAAUUACUCGGUUUAGUUGUGAAAAAGGAAGUGAAAAGUACUACUUUGUAAGGAAAAUGGGAGAAACGAAAGGGGAAAAUUUAACAAACUCCUGGAACAAAAAGUUUACAAAAAAUGCUAGAAACAAAGAAAAUUUAUUCUGAAAGUGGCUCAAAAAGAUCAAUUAGUGGUUAAAAUUCAUUUGUUGUAUGAAAUCCAAUUAUCAAAGUGAAUCUCAACCACUGAUUAUUUUUUCGAAAGACUUUCGAAAUAAAUUUUCUUUGUAUCUAACAUUAAAGUUUCCAUUUUCGCUUCUUCUCUCUCUCAAACCAAACGAGGGAAGAGAAUUUUUUUCAACUCUCUCUUCUUUUUCCUUUCCUUUCUGCACGUUCCAAAGAAAAAGGCUCCGUCUUCCCUCGUUUGAUUUGGUUUGGUUUCAGAACCAUAUAUUCAACUUUUCUCUAAUUUCUCUUUGAACUUUCCCCCUCAUUUCCUUUUCUUUGCUCGAGUUCCAAACAGAGCUUAGGGAAAGGAAAAGACAGUUCUCCUCGUUUCAUUUGAAAAGAAAGUGUGAAAAAAAAAUUAAACAAAAUUUCGAGCAGAACACAUUUUUCGCACACUUUCUUUCUUAACAAUUCUUAUUUUCCUUUUCUUUCCAUGAGUUCCAAAUGGAUCCUAAAGGAAAAGUGAUUAUGAGAGGAAUUUUAAGGAAAAAUAUCAUGAUUAUGGGGUCUUGGAGAGAUUAUUCAGUGCA